rnacentral:rRNA from 1 species
CGUAGGCGGGUUAAUAAGUCAGUGGUGAAAGUCUGCAGCUCAACUGUAGAAUUGCCAUUGAUACUGUUAACCUUGAGUAAUUAUGAAGUGGUUAGAAUAUGUAGUGUAGCGGUGAAAUGCAUAGAUAUUACAUAGAAUACCGAUUGCGAAGGCAGAUCACUAAUAAUUCACUGACGCUGAGGGACGAAAGCGUAGUAGCGAACAGGAUUAGAUACCCUGGUAGUCUACGCCGUAAACGAUGGUUACUAGCUGUUUGGCUCGAUUGAGAGCUGAGUGGCUAAGCGAAAGUGAUAAGUAACCCACCUGGGGAGUACGUUCGCAAGAAUGAAACUCAAAGGAAUUGACGGGGGCCCGCACAAGCGGUGGAGCAUGUGGUUUAAUUCGAUGAUACGCGAGGAACCUUACCAGGGCUUAAAUGCAGUCUGACAGGGGUGGAAACACCCUUUCCUUCGGGCAGAUUGCAAGGUGCUGCAUGGUUGUCGUCAGCUCGUGCCGUGAGGUGUCAGGUUAAGUCCUAUAACGAGCGCAACCCCUGUGGUUAGUUGCCAGCGAGUCAUGUCGGGAACUCUAACCAGACUGCCAGUGCAAACUGUGAGGAAGGUGGGGAUGACGUCAAAUCAUCACGGCCCUUACGUCCUGGGCCACACACGUGCUACAAUGGUAGGGACAGAGAGCAGCCACUGGGCGACCAGGAGCGAAUCUAUAAACCCUAUCACAGUUCGGAUCGGAGUCUGCAACUCGACUCUGUGAAGCUGGAAUCGCUAGUAAUCGC